rnacentral:rRNA from 1 species
ACAGAGCGCCUACGGAAGGCAGCAGUGGGGAAUAUUGGGCAAUGGGCGAAAGCCUGACCCAGCAACGCCGCGUGAAGGAAGAAGGCCUUCGGGUUGUAAACUUCUUUUACCAGGGACGAAGGACGUGACGGUACCUGGAGAAAAAGCAACGGCUAACUACGUGCC